rnacentral:misc_RNA from 1 species
UAGUACUAGUAAAGCUUCUUGUAAGUUGUAUUAUAUUUUUGACUGAUACAUAUAAUUUGGUAAAGUACUCUUAGUUUUACCAAGGUGUACAGGUUGUGAAAGAUAAGGGAAAUCAAGAUAACCUCGCAACGUAUUUCGAAAACAAACUACGUGUUUAAUUAUAUAUAUAUAUAUAAUAUAUAUAUAUAUACACACUCCGGUUGUACUUGUAAGACUAAGGAAACGGCAUUGGAUUAGAAUGCUUCAGAAGGUUCAUGAUGCGGUAGGACUAAAAGUGGAUGGGAUGAAACGUUAAAUAGCGAGGCUUUACCAUUAAAGCUUCUAAAAUGAGCUGGUUCAAAAGAGACAGCCCACUGAGGUCUAGUUUUCGCAGGAGGUCGUCUCAGAUUCCUCCUCUACAGGAAUUGGAUACUAAUGCUUGCUUUGAAACAUUUAAAAUACACUGGAAACAGGCAUGGCAAAUCAUGAACAUAGAAAGUGAACCAAGGAAAGCUGAUGAUGUUACGUGUGUUGUGAACCUCUUAGACCAGAUGAUUGCAUUGUUAAUUCAAGAAAUGAGUAGUCAAAAGAAGACAGAGAUCAAUACCAUUGGUCAUACAGAUGAAGCUACAUUUGUGGGUCCCAUACUGGAUUAUCUGUUCUUAGAGAAGAUACUGGAUAAGAUAUUUGUGUGGUCCAUAAAGAGUGGAGAAUUUGUUAAUGUGAUGAAACUAGAACAGCUCAAGAUGUAUGAGACUCUUAUCAGCCACUGCCAAGAAUAUAUCUUGUUUCACAAACCAUUUGUCCGUCCAUUGCUUCAGCUUUUAGCUGUUUGUGGAGAGUGUUCACCUGUUGAGGUUGAAAAGCGAUUUGUGGUACUUCUAAAUACAAUAUGUGUUUGUAUAACACAGAAUCAAAACCUUCUGGGAAUGUUCUUCAAUGUAAAUUCUGAACCAGCAAGGUUCCUCAUAUUUUCUCUUCUGAUACCUUUUGUUCACCGAGAAGGAGCUAUUGGUCAACAAGCAAGAGAUGCCUUGUUGCUCUGCAUGGCUUUAUCAGGAGAGAAUGAAAGUGUUGGAUUAUAUAUUGCAGAGCACUCCAAUUUUUGUCCUGUGCUAGCGACGGGGUUGAGUGGACUGUAUUCAGUUUUACCUAGGAAACUUCCAGUCAUGAAAGGUGAUUGGUUCCACCUUACUAACGAAGAUGUUCAAGAAAUUCCUGAAGUUUUUAUCUUCAUGAAUUCUUUAGAAUUUUGUAACGCAGUUGUACAGGUAGCUCACCAUGUGGUAAAAGCCCAAGUGGUAGAUUACCUCUAUCAAGGAUUUCUGGAGCCUGUGAUUGGACCAGCUCUCCAUCAGACAUCCACAGAAGAAGUCAUAGCAGCCACAGCUUAUUUGCAGUUGUUUCUUCGCUCCAUCACAGAACCAACCAUAAUCAAAGUCUUCCUCAAGUUUAUAGUAAUGUCAAAUUUUGAAGGUCAUCAAAUCUUGGAUACCUUAGUGAAAAGAAUAGAAUCCCAGUCUACUCUGUGUACCAUCACACUGGCCCUUUUCAAGACACUCCUAGAUUUUAAUUGUGAAGAUUUUAUGUUGGAGUUAGUACUCAAGUACUUGAUUCCUUGUACCCAUGUCAUGGUUAGCCAGCGAAUUCGGUUGCGUGAUGUGGAUGUAUACAGUCAGACAGCAGAAAAGCUACUGUCACUAGUACCUACUUGUUUCUUAACCUUGCCAACAUCCUCUCUCCCUUCAAACAUGAAGCACUCGGAGAGACUGUCACUCGGGGGUAGUUUAAGAGUUAAAAGACAUCGUCGUACAACUUCAACAUCAAGCCUUGCCUCUGGUGACUUUCAUGUGAAUCAAAGAUCAUGUAGUGGUAAUAACGGUAUUAACCCAAUGCAGUUGUACUAUGAAGAGAGGGAGCACCAUGAAACUAGUUACUUAGAUUAUCUCAAGGAAGCUAGAGAAUGUGUGUUAGCCUGCACUAAAGCUUCUCUAAAGUGGACUGCUCCUUAUAAUGGGUUGAUACCACCCCCAGAUGCAUCUUUAAUGAAUCCAGCUAAGAAACAUCAGUCAUGCACUGAGGUUUCUAGAGAUUCCUCUGUUCCAAGUGGACAGUGUGAUGAAAAAUUGAUAAUAAUUGACAAUUACUACACUGAUUUAAAUCAAACUGAAUCUAGCCACCAAAAUGGAGAAAGUUCAACACUGAGUCACUGUUUGAACACUGAAAAUAUCAUGUGCAAUCUAUCCUCAAAGUCUACAGUAAAUGGUUCAUCUAGAAAUGAGAAUGAAAUGAAUAUGGAAAAUAGUAUCAUUGAGUUAAAUGUAGAAAGAUCAGGAGACCAUAUGGAUAAUUCAGCAUUGUUUAAAGAAAGGCAUGAAAAUAAGGGUCAACUGUCAAAGUAUGAAUUGAUUAAAAUAAAAAAAAAUCAACACUUAAGUAAUUUGUGCACAUUCUCAGAUUUUCAGGAUAACGGAACUAAGUCCUUGCUAUUAGGUAACAGAACUAAAGAUUCUUGCAAGUCUAGUACAUCAUCUCCAUCAAGUUUGGAGUCUUUUGAAAGUCCUGAUAUUGGACCUUUUCUCAAUGUUCUGUUAACUAAACUAGAGAUGAUGCUUCAGAAUGAUGUGUACACAAAUCUCCGGUUAACAGAGGUACUAGCUCGUCUAGCCCUCUAUCCACAGCCUUUGCUUCGAUCUUUCUUGCUCAACCAUUCUUUGGUCUUCCAGCCAACAGUGAGAUCAUUACUUCAGGUAUUGGGUUCUUUAAAACCAAAAGUGGAAGCCUGUUGUACAUCCAUCAGCAAUUUUGAAGAGUUGUUGCUGAAAUGUAGUAAAUUUUUCUUUGCUCGAGAAGAACGGUUAUUGAACGAUUUGGUUGUAAGGGAAUAUAGAAAAGAAACUUUUAACCAGCAGAAAGAUAUUCAGAGAGGAGAACGACGCAGAAGUUUUACAAAUUUUAUUUUCAGAAGAGGUAGUUUACGAGGAGAGAAAGAAAGAAAUGUAGCUAUUAGACCAAUUUUUGAGUCCUUACCAGCCACUCAAGGACACAGACAAGCACCUGAAAAACCUGAAGGCAAACUGGAAUGCCUGAAAAUGAAAAAUGCUGUACUGUGUACAGUUCUUUUCUCAGAAUUCCUUAAAGAACUCGCUGCCAUUAGCCAGGAGCACUCUGUUAUUCAAGCAGAUCCGGAGUUUUGGACAAUGGAUUCGAUGGCUUAUGAUAACAUUUAGCAGGCAUGCUAAACCAUCAUUAUCAUUUAAUAUACAAUUUUAAUUGUGUAUAUAUACACUGAUUCAUUCUAAAGAUAUUGUUGAAAAAUUAAAACCAAAAUAAGUUGAUAAUGGCUCUGCAUAACCCUAAAACACACAAAGAAAUGACUAAAUUACUUAUUGGUGAUUCAAAAUAAUGGUACCUGUAUAUAGAAAAACUUAGGUGUUGACACAAAAUAAGAGCCAAAUUUUAUAAUAAUGAAUUGAUUAGGCCUAGCCAUUGAAUGCAUGUUAAUAGGUAUCCUUCAAACUUAUUUUGUUUCCUGUUUUUAUAGAUAAAUGUGUGAUAAUUAUGAAAAGUCAUAGUUUAUUCAGGUUUUCUGAAAUCUAAUGAUUCCUAUAAAGUAGUGUGAUUCAUUUUUGAAGUAUUAAGGUUUUUAAGCAGCCUUAAAAGUUCAUAAAAUUGUUGAUCCUGUGGUUAGAUUUUUAUUAAUCAAAAGUUAGUGUUAGGAAUAUAAAUAUCGAAAAAAUUACAAGGGUAUUUUUCUAAUCUCCAUAUCAUGAUAUGUGGUUUGAUUACAUCAUAGUAGUCAAGUUCAUGUGAUUUUAUACAAGUUAUUUAUAAUUAUGUGUACAUUUUGGAAUUGUCAGCCUUGAGGUUUUGUAAAUAACUUUUGUUGUGAUUAUUGUGUUUUAAAAUAGUAAUAUUUCCUGUGCUCACAAACUGCAACUUUGAUUAUCAUAUGUUUUUUAACUAAGAUUUAUAUCCUAAAACAGAAUAUUUCAAGCAAAUAAAUACAGCAAAACAAACUACACAGUUAAUAAUCAGUUGUUUAAAUACUUUUAACAAAAUCUAACAAAUGUAUCAUAGGUUUCAAGAGUGAAUGUUCAUUUGUGCCUUACCAUAUCUUUUUAUGAAUGGUUGUCUUAGUUAUUAAAUGGGUAACUAGCAACUUAUAACAAAAUCACCACACACCGAGAAACUUGUUUUAAUAAACUCUUUAUGAAUCUGAAUUGAUCCUAUCAUUAGUAUGUGUGUUUUACAUCUUUAUCAAUCUGAAUUAAUCCUAUCAUUACAGUGUGUUUAUGUGUGUUUUACAUCUUUAUCAAUCUGAAUUAAUCCUAUCAUUACAGUGUGUAUGUGUGUGUGUUUUACAUCUUUAUCAAUCUGAAUUAAUCCUAUCAUUACAGUGUGUGUGUGUUUUACAUCUUUAUCAAUCUGAAUUAAUCCUAUCAUUAGUGUGUAUGUGUUUUACUAUCUUUAUCAAUCUGAAAUAAUCCUAUCAUUAGUGUGUGUGUGUGUUUUACAUCUUUAUCAAUCUGAAUUGAUCCUAUCAUUACAGUGUGUGUUUUACAUCUUUAUCAAUCUGAAUUAAUCCUAUCAUUAGUGUGUGUGUGUGUACUUGCUGAAAGUUUUCUUUGAGGGAAAAGAAAAAAUCUCUAUUGAAAAUAAUCACAAUAGUUUAAAAAAUUUAUAAGAAAUAAAUAGUAUAUUGCACUUUUUAAUGCCAGUUUACUAAAUAAAACUGAUAAAUGAAACUUAAUUAUUUAAAGCGUUUUUUCAGUAUGUGCAGUAUAUUCAGAAUUACAAGUUGAUAUUUGUAACAAUACUUAGAAUUAAAAACAAAAAUGAGAUUAAUGACAACAAAUAACUUAAUUGGCGAGGUAGUAAGUUAGCAGUAAGUUGCUAGACGUACAAAUAGAGGAUGAAGUGGAAACAGAAACAGAUGGUCUUCAAGGUAUACAAAAUGUAAUAUUUGAGGUAUGACCAAUGAAUAAAUCAACAGACCAGAGAUCAAGAAUUGAUAAUCAAUGGCAAGAAAAACAUAUGGAAUUGAUAAGUAUGCAGUCAAAAAAGUUAAUCACAAGUGAAAACAAUGUGAAAUAGAUAAGUACACAGUAAAAAGUUAAGUACUAGUGAAAACAAUGUGAAAUAGAUAAGUACACAGUAAAAAGUUAAUUACUAGCGAGAACAAUGUGAAAUAGAUAGGUACACAGUCAAAAAAAAUGUAUUAAUAGUGAAAACAAUGUUAAAUGGAUAAGUACGCAGUCAAAAAAGUUGACACUGCUGAAUCCAAAUAUUUACAUACGAUAAACUGUUGAAGAACAUCUAGCGAUAAAGGUGAAUAAUCGGGUUAUUAGAUAUCUUCACACUGAUGGAUAAAGAUGAAUAGUGUGGUUACCAAAUGUCUCUUCACACUAAUGAAUCAAGAUGAAUAGUCUGGUUACCAGAUGUCUCUUCACACUAAUGAAUCAAGAUGAAUAGUCUGGUUACCAGAUGUCUCUUCACACUAAUGAAUAAAGAUGAAUAAUCUGGUUACUACAUGUCUAUUCAAACUGAUGGGUAAAGAUGAAUAGUCUGGUUGAUAGAUGUCUCUUCACACUGAUGGGUAAGGAUGAAGAGUCUGGUUACUAGAUGUCUCUUCACACUGAUGGAUAAAUAUGAAUAGUGUAGUUACUAGGUGUCUCUUCACACUAAUGGGUAAAGAUGAAUAGUCUGGUUACUAGGUGUCUCUUCACACUAAUGGGUAAAGAUGAAUAGUCUGGUUACUAGGUGUCUCUUCACACUAAUGGGUAAAGAUGAAUAGUCUGGUUACUAGGUGUCUCUUCACACUAAUGGGUAAAGAUGAAUAGUCUGGUUACUAGGUGUCUUUUCACACUAAUGGGUAAAGAUGAAUAGUCUGGUUACUAUAUGUCUCUUCACACUGAUGGAUAAAUAUGAAUAGUCUGGUUACUAGGUGUAUUAUCACACUAAUGGAUAAAGAUGAAUAGUCUGGUUACUAGAUGUCUCUUCAAACUGAUGGGUAAGGAUGAAUAGUCUUGUAACUAGACUUUUCUUUUACUGUGUGAGAUAUUGUUUAUUGAUAAUGAUUAAAAUAUAUCAUUCAUGUAUUAAUGAAAGUGAUCACAUGUAUAGUAUACUUUUGCAUGUCAUUUAAUUCCUGGAAUACAAUGGUCUUAAUUUUAGUGAUAGAGUACAUUAUAGAAAGUUAAGUUCCUGAUGCAGGUCUAAAGGCAAAAUGUUAAGCAAAUAUAAGCUUCGUAAGAUUCUUCUGGGGUUGACACUGGUGUUUUUAUAUGAAUAAUGUUGAUUGUAUAACUGAGCUUAUUAAUAUUAGUAUUUUACAAAGUUCAUAAAACUCCAUUAGCAAAUCCGAAAAAGAUUAGUUAUCGUCUUCACAUUUUAAUUGUACUUCUUUCUCACCAGCAUGACUGUUAUAUUGAUCUAGUAAUUUAAAAUUCUGAAUGUGAUGAUACAUCUUAAAGCAUUUCUUUUAACUAAGGUUGUUUUACUAUGGUAAUGAAUUGUUGUAAAUUAUAAAAAUGUUCAUUAUUUUUUGUAAAUUGUAAUCAUAGCAGAAUUGGAAAGGUUGUGGUAUUUUGUAAAAAAAAACAUUAUUUAAUAAAUGUAUCCUGUUAGAUGUAUUUACCUCAAAAUUAAAUAUUCUUUUGUUUAAAAACUUAAACACUUCUGUUUUGUGAAGCUGAAAGAACAUCUUCAAGUUAUGUUUUUGUGUAAUACACAUCUGAUGAUUGUUUGGAGUUAAUAAAUGAUGAUGCUCUUCAAAAUUCAAUGUUUUUAACUUGUUAAAAAACUGAGAUGUUGUUUUUACCUUUCAAGGAUAAACUCUUGUUGUUAAAUAAGUUUAACAGAUCACAUCAACUUAUCAAAUGUGUGGUUUCUCUGCACUGCUUCAUUUUUUAGCAAGUUGUAUUACAUGUAAGAAAAUUCCAGAUCUAAAUUGGUAAAAUUGGUUUUACCUGCUCAAAAACAUGCUUGCUAAAAUGUACAAAAAGUAUUGUGGAAAAAAAAUAAACAGCUCUUAAGA